UACGUAGGGUGCAAGCGUUAAUCGGAAUUACUGGGCGUAAAGCGUGCGCAGGCGGUUCUAUAAGACAGAUGUGAAAUCCCCGGGCUCAACCUGGGAACUGCAUUUGUGACUGUAGAGCUGGAGUGCGGCAGAGGAGACUGGAAUUCCUGGUGUAGCAGUGAAAUGCGUAGAUAUCAGGAGGAAUACCGAUGGCGAAGGCAGGUCUCUGGGCUGACACUGACGCUCAUGCACGAAAGCGUGGGGAGCGAACAGG
rnacentral:rRNA from 1 species